ACACAAGGUCGUGCCAGACAGGACUGGUGUUGAUUCUAAUUCUUUCUGGAACAGAAACACUUUUCCUGUAAUUCGGCCUCACUAUUCCCCGAUGAAAGACAAAAUUAUAUUAAAAGGUGCAUUUAAAUGACAUUCAGAGCAUGAUUAUGCUAAAAGCAUAAGAGCAUCGUGCAGAUUGUGGAGCUUCUCUGCAUUUUUAAAUUCUAAACAAGGUACCUUUUACAUGAUGCUUCAAUAGUAGAGACAAUUACUGUUCGCCUACCGAGUUUUUGGGAUUGUUUUAAACUUUAAUGAUAUUUGCAUGCUCUAUUCUUGGCUUUAUGGAGU